rnacentral:rRNA from 1 species
GCAGUAGGGAAUAUUGCGCAAUGGGGGAAACCCUGACGCAGCAACGCCGCGUGGAGGAUGACACUUUUCGGAGCGUAAACUCCUUUUCUUAGGGAAGAAUUCUGACGGUACCUAAGGAAUAAGCACCGGCUAACUCCGUGCCAGCAGCCGCGGUAAUACGGAGGGUGCAAGCGUUACUCGGAAUCACUGGGCGUAAAGGGCGCGUAGGCGGAUUAUCAAGUCUCUUGUGAAAUCUAAUGGCUUAACCAUUAAACUGCUUGGGAAACUGAUAGUCUAGAGUGAGGGAGAGGCAGAUGGAAUUGGUGGUGUAGGGGUAAAAUCCGUAGAUAUCACCAAGAAUACCCAUUGCGAAGGCGAUCUGCUGGAACUCAACUGACGCUAAGGCGCGAAAGCGUGGGGAGCAAACAGGAUUAGAUACCCUGGUAGUCCACGCCCUAAACGAUGUACACUAGUUGUUGGGGUGCUAGUCAUCUCAGUAAUGCAGCUAACGCAUUAAGUGUACCGCCUGGGGAGUACGGUCGCAAGAUUAAAACUCAAAGGAAUAGACGGGGACCCGCACAAGCGGUGGAGCAUGUGGUUUAAUUCGAAGAUACGCGAAGAACCUUACCUGGGCUUGAUAUCCUAAGAACCUUAUAGAGAUAUGAGGGUGCUAGCUUGCUAGAACUUAGAGACAGGUGCUGCACGGCUGUCGUCAGCUCGUGUCGUGAGAUGUUGGGUUAAGUCCCGCAACGAGCGCAACCCACGUAUUUAGUUGCUAACGGUUCGGCCGAGCACUCUAAAUAGACUGCCUUCGUAAGGAGGAGGAAGGUGUGGACGACGUCAAGUCAUCAUGGCCCUUAUGCCCAGGGCGACACACGUGCUACAAUGGCAUAUACAAUGAGACGCAAUACCGCGAGGUGGAGCAAAUCUAUAAAAUAUGUCCCAGUUCGGAUUGUUCUCUGCAACUCGAGAGCAUGAAGCCGGAAUCGCUAGUAAUCGUAGAUCAGCCAUGCUACGGUGAAUACGUUCCCGGGUCUUGUACUCACCGCCCGUCACACCAUGGGAGUUGAUUUCACUCGAAGCCGGAAUACUAAACUAGUUACCGUCCACAGUGGAAUCAGCGACUGGGGUGAAGUCGUAACAAGGUAACCGUAGGAGAACCUGCGGUUGGAUCACCUCCUUUCUA